GANUCGGAAUGACUGGGCGUAAAGCGUACGCAGGCGGUUUGUUAAGCGAGAUGUGAAAGCCCCGGGCUCAACCUGGGAACUGCAUUUCGAACUGGCAAGCUAGAGUGUGAUAGAGGGUGGUAGAAUUUCAGGUGUAGCGGUGAAAUGCGUAGAUAUCUGAAGGAAUACCGAUGGCGAAGGCAGCCACCUGGGUCAACACUGACGCUCAUGUACGAAAGCGUGGGGAGCAAACGGGAUUAGAUACCCCGGUAGUCCACGCCGUAAACGAUGUCUACUAGAAGCUCGGACCCUCGGUUCUGUAUU
rnacentral:rRNA from 1 species